rnacentral:rRNA from 1 species
AACGAACGCUGGCGGCAUGCCUAACACAUGCAAGUCGAACGAAGUCUUCGGACUUAGUGGCGCACGGGUGCGUAACGCGUGGGAAUCUGCCCUUGGGUGCGGAAUAACUUCUCGAAAGGGAUGCUAAUACCGCAUAAUGUCGUAAGACCAAAGAUUUAUCGCCCAAGGAUGAGCCCGCGUAAGAUUAGCUAGUUGUGGGGUAAAAGCCUACCAAGGCGACGAUCUUUAGCUGGUCUGAGAGGAUGAUCAGCCACACUGGGACUGAGACACGGCCCAGACUCCUACGGGAGGCAGCAGUGGGGAAUAUUGGACAAUGGGCGAAAGCCUGAUCCAGCAAUGCGCGUGAGUGAUGAAGGCCCUAGGGUUGUAAGCUCUUUACCAGGGAUGAUAAUGACAGUACCUGGAGAAUAAGCUCGGCUAACUCCGUGCCAGCAGCCGCGGU